AGCACCAACACCCAGUGGCGUCUCGUCCUAAGGUGCACUUGGUGCACUGCACAGUCAAAGAUUUCAAACUAACAAAUUAAAUAUAUAUAUUAUAAUUCUCAAUACUUC